GCCCCGAUGGUGGAACUGGCAGACACGCCCAACUCAAAAUCUGGUUCUCGCAAGAGAGUGGAAGUUCGACCCUCCCUCCGGGCACCA
rnacentral:tRNA from 1 species